GAGAGAGAGGGAGAGCGAGAGAGCGAGGGAGGGAGGGGGGAGAGAGCGAGCGAGAAAGAGUGAGAGAGGAGAGCACGGCGCGGCGCGGCACAGCACGGUACGGCACAGCGCGGAACCGCACCGCACCGCGCGGAUCGGCUGUGCUCCGCGUCGCGCUAAGCAACGCAGCACCGCGCCGGCGGGGCCCGGCCGCGCAGCUCCACCGGCAGACAAUGCCGCAGACCGGCGCCCGGGCACACGCACCGCCGCCCUGACAUGAUGGGUCCCUCGCUCCAACGCCAUCCUCGCUUCGCCUUUUUUACAGAAUUAAAACCAGCAGCCAGGCAAUGGUGCUGACAAAAGGACCCAUUACUAAUACAGCUGCACUGCCAUGAAUGAUGUAAGAAAAAAAUAAAUAUUAAUAGAAGGAAUCUAAGUAAAAAAUGGAAGCCUAAACAGAAACAGUGAAACAAUAAGUUCCAGCCAGCACAAGCCAGCAAUGUGCCCUCGUGGCCAAAAAGGCCAAUGGCAUCCUGGGAUGCAUCAAGAAGAGUGUGGCCAGUGGGUCAAGGGAGGUUCUGCUCCCCCUCUACUCUCCCCUAGUGAGGCCUCAUCUGGAGUCCUGUGUCCAGUUCUGAGCUCCUUAGCUCAAGAGGGACAGGGAACUCGAGAGAGAGUCCAGCACAGGGCCACCAAGAUGAUCAGGGGACUGGAGCGUCCUCCUUAUGAGGAAAGGCUGCAGGAACUGGGGCUGUUUAGUCUAGAGGAGACUGAGGGGAGAUCUCAUUAAUACUUACAAAUAUUUAAAAGGUGCUUGUCAAGAGGAUGCGGUGACUAUUUUUUCUGCGGUAUCCAGUGAUGGGACUAGAGGUAAUGGACAAAAGCUGGAACACAAAACGUUCCACUUAAGGAAAAACUUGUUUCCUGGGAGGAUGAGAAAACCCUGCCACAGGCUGCCCAGGGAGUCUGUGAAGUCUCCUUCUCAAGAGGUUUUCAAACCCCGCCUGGAUACGUUCCUGUGUGACCUGAUCUAGCAGGUGAUCUUUAGAAGUCUCUUCCAACUCCUGCCAUUCUGUGAUUCUGUGAAGUUAUACCAAAAGCCUUUGCAUUCAGGAAAGAAACACAAACAUGCUAAACUUUACUUGUAUAAGGAUAAGACAAAAUGGAGGAACAGAAGGGACAUUAUGAAUAAAGCAGCACCUAAGUCACAACAUUUGAGAAAGUUUUUACCUGGGUAUUUUGGGGAUCCUACUAGAAACCAACUGGAUAAGAUUUGGAUACAAAUAAAGGCUGAUGUAAUCACUGUA